rnacentral:misc_RNA from 1 species
CGGGCACACAAAUCCAAGCAAGAGAGAAAACCAUCCAAUUCCGCAGCCGAAACAAGGAAGGGGUUUGUCAAACAGUCCCAACUGAGGUUCCUCAGCAUCAUUAAUCAGAAUAUACUCGCCUUGCUUAUUGUCGACAGCAUUAGUUGAGUGCCCCUGAUCCAUUCGUUCCAGAAAUGUAUUAGAAAGUUAGUGUCCGCAAUUUCCUCCCUGCCUCUAACAAAUAUUAAUAAGAAAUAGUGAAAUUCGCAGAAGAGAAAUACAGACGACGAUGAAAAGAAGAAAAAGAAGCAAGCUUGCAGCUUUCUAGAGUUCUGUUGCGAAGUUGUUUUCUUAAUUUCUUUAUUAUUUUACUUGGUGGCGAAAAUAGGGGCGUUUCGGUAUCUCAUCAGUCAUCAUCUCC